AAUUUUUGACAAUGGGGGCAACCCUGAUCCAGCCAUACCGCGUGCGUGACGAAUGCUUUCGGGUUUUAAAGUACUUUUGGCAGAGAAUAAAAGGUCUCUCCUAACACGCGAUACUGCUGUCGGUUUUUGCAGUAUAAGCACCGUCUAAUUACGUACCACCAGCCGCGGUAAUACGUAGGGUGCAAGCGUUAAUCGGAAUUACUGGGCGUAAAGCGUGUGUAGGCGGUUCGGGAAGAAAGAUGUUGAAUCCCAGGGCUCAACCUUGGAACUGCAUUUUUAACUGCCGAGCUAGAGUAUGUCAGAGGGGGGUAGAAUUCCACGUGUAGCAGUGAAAUGCGUAGAUAUGUGGAGGAAUACCGAUGGCGAAGGCAGCCCCCUGGGAUAAUACUGACGCUCAGACACGAAAGCGUGGGGAGCAAACAG
rnacentral:rRNA from 1 species